UGGGGGAUAUUGCACAAUGGGCGAAAGCCUGAUGCAGCGACGCCGCGUGGGGGAUGAAGGCUUUCGGGUUGUAAACCUCUUUCGCUAUCGAACAAGGCCCGCUUAGGGUGGGUUGAGGGUAGGUGGAGAAGAAGCGCCGGCUAACUACGUGUCAGCAGCCGCGGUAAUACGUAGGGCGCGAGCGUUGUCCGGAAUUAUUGGGCGUAAAGGGCUUGUAGGCGGUUUGUUGCGCCUGCUGUGAAAACGCGGGGCUUAACUUCGCGCGUGCAGUGGGUACGGGCAGGCUUGAGUGUGGUAGGGGUGACUGGAAUUCCAGGUGUAGCGGUGGAAUGCGCAGAUAUCUGGAGGAACACCGAUGGCGAAGGCAGGUCACUGGGCCAUUACUGACGCUGAGGAGCGAAAGCAUGGGUAGCGAACAGG
rnacentral:rRNA from 1 species